rnacentral:rRNA from 1 species
UGGGGAAUAUUGCGCAAUGGGCGAAAGCCUGACGCAGCAACGCCGCGUGCGGGAUGAAGGCCUUCGGGUUGUAAACCGCUUUCAGCAGGGAAGAAGCGAAAGUGACGGUACCUGCAGAAGAAGCACCGGCUAACUACGUGCCAGCAGCCGCGGUAAUACGUAGGGUGCAAGCGUUGUCCGGAUUUAUUGGGCGUAAAGAGCUCGUAGGCGGUUAGUCACGUCGGAUGUGAAAACCCGGAGCUUAACUCCGGGCCUGCAUUCGAUACGGGCUGACUCGAGUGUUGUAGGGGAGACUGGAACUCCUGGUGUAGCGGUGAAAUGCGCAGAUAUCAGGAAGAACACCGGUGGCGAAGGCGGGUCUCUGGGCAACUACUGACGCUGAGGAGCGAAAGCGUGGGGA